UCUCCUUUUUGACCUCCACAAAUCCUCCACAAAUUUAUUUUUUCAAUCACAAAUUUAUUCAUUCCAUGUUUGUAGCUUAUUCAAUUUGUGUAUAAAUAUCCAUCAUGUGUUUAUCAAGAAUAUUAGUUUCUCCUUUGAUUGAGGUUUUAGUUUCUUUAGGUAUAAGAUACCUUAUUCUUGUUGUAUGAUCUAGAAUAUGAUGUCAUAUAAUUGUUUUGUGAUAUGGUAUGAGAUGCUCUUUUCUUGAAGUGUGAUUUGGCACUGGAGGACGGAUUAUGCAUGAUGAAAUUGAUGGUGAAUUGCUGAUUGUGUUGAAUUGCUGAUUGUGUUGAGGUUGCUUUGUAUAGCCACAACCUAGCAAAAGAGUGUGAUAAAUGCUUGAGUUGAGAAAAGGGUACAAAGAUGUAAUUGAACACGUACAGCAGUUGUGUGAUGUGACUUAAUGAUGCAUUAUGCGAGAUGUAUGCUUAUGAGAUAUGAGUGGUUAUAAAUGAUUUGAAAAGAAAUGUUUUCCAUUUAUGAUUAAUAAAUAUUUGUUAAUGAAAUUUGGAUUGUGUUGAUCGUGUAACGCGUUGAGAUGAUUUGAUUUGGACUCGAUAUUUUAUUUUUGAAACACAUAACUAUUUAUAUUACAUGAUUUGGCAAAAUGAGUUGUAACACGUUAGGAUAGAAUUUGACUUAGUGUUGGUAAAAGACUCACACUCACUAGACAUUCUUGUCUAACUUUCAAAUGUCUUGAUUUACUCCCCCCCUCUAUGGUAACAGAGGACAACCAACGUUUGACUUGCUAUCUUUAUCGUCUCUUUUGCCAUAUACUCAAUUCACAUCAUCUUUGGUAGUGUCAUUGUGUCAACUCACACAACAUGUGUAGAAGCUAGGUGAGGAGAGUCCAACUAUUGUUUUGAGAUUAUAUAUAUUUUUUGUUAGAAGGAACUUCGUACUUGUGUUAAAUAUAUUCUUUUAACCACUAUGAAUGAAGUAUUUGUGUUAUCAAUUGAGUUCUCAGUUUGUGUUAAGAUUGUGGAUUGUGUUUGUUCCGCUUACUAGGUGUUCUACGUGCUAUUUGCGAAAAGAUUCACGUAGAAUGUGUAGGUGGUCAAGUCUCCACCUGGUCGCAUAGAGUGACUUUUGGAAUGGGGUGGGACAUGUAUAUAGCAAUUAAGAAUUGUAAUUUUUAAUAAUGGCUAAAAUAUAGCAAUUUUAGGAUUUUUAAUGGCUAUAUAUUUGUAAUUUUCAAAAGAUUUCUAUAUAAUUUUGAAUGUAAUGGCUAUAUAUAUAUAUAUGCCACUAUCCCUAAAAAGUUUAUAAAAAAAAUCUAAGUUUGUGAUUAAUCUGAUGAUGAAUAUCUAAGAAAGGAAAAGGAGAUAGAAACUAUUAUCUUCUUCUUGUGUGUCUCUAUAGUGUUGUGUGUUAAACCAAAAACUGAAACCACACAGCAUUUAUGACAAAGAAGAAAAGUAGGUGAAAAUGAUUGACGUUUGGGAAGAGAAUUAUCAAACAAAAUCCUUCAACUGUGACCUUUUUCAAUUUACAACCACAGAAUCUUUGCUAAAAUCCAUUUCAUAAACAUAGAUAUGCAAACUGUAUCCAUCCAUUUGAUACUUACAAAUCAUCUGCCCAUCAAAUUUUAGUUUCACAUCUCAAAUUCCAUACAUAUUCCUUAAUUGAUCUAACACAUAAAAACUUAUAUAUCUUCUGUCAACAACAGCUUAAAGCUAAACCAAUAUUCAAAUUUAGCUUAACUCGACUCAUUACAAGAUUUGAGUUUCAAAUUUCUCUCCCCCAAUCAUUGUACUAAAAAAAGCUUUCAUAUCUGUCAAUAUUUUUAAAACUACAUGAGAUGGUAUAACUUUAAAUUCACAUCUAAUUUAUUUUAAUCACUGAAUCAUGGUUGUAAAACAGCACACAUAGUAGUGGUUAAUCUCCAAAUUAAUUAGUUGGUCCACUAACUUUUAGAGUAUGAUAUUUAAAGACUUCCCAAACUUUGAAUUCAAAAAGUGCAGUCUGUAAUCUAUAUAUAGUGGGAUUAGAAGAUAUAGAAGCGUAUCAAUAAAGUGAACACAAUAAUUAUAUAGAAGGGGAAAAAAAACCUUAAAAAUGCUAUUGAGAUUGCACUUAUUUUUGUCCAUUCAAAAACUAACAACAACAUUUUAACAUUAAAAAAAAAAAAAAAAAGGAAAGUUAAAUAGUUGUAUUUCCCCACUGUGUAAUGAAUGGACGAUUAUAUAUAAAAUAUGUGUAAUCUAAAUUGUACCUACUAAUUUUCCAUAUAUAGAAAUGGAAAUGGAAAAUGGAAAAUGGAAAAUGGAAAAUGGAAAUGCAUGGGUGCCAUGUAGCUACCUCCAUGGAGCAGCAGGUGGUAAAUGUAGUAAAACAAAAAGGGGGAUUAGAGAGAACAUACAAUAGCAUAUAAAUGAAGAAAGAUGAAUAAAAUUAAUGAAAAAAAAGGAUGAUAAGCUAUAGUUUUACGAAAAAGAAAAAGAAUAAAGAAUAAGGACAAAAGAAAAGAAAAUGUUGGAAGAGUCAAAGAGGCAAUAAAAGAGAAGAAGUAGGGUUUUAAUUUUAAUUUGUAUUGAGAGUUGUGAAGCGGCGCAUGGGAAGGGGCAAUAGCCAUACCAAAAUGGUGAGGGUAUGGCUCAUAACCACAAAACCAUACAAACCAAUUAGGGUCCCCAAAAG
rnacentral:lncRNA from 1 species